GAGUUUGAUCCUGGCUCAGAUUGAACGCUGGCGGCAUGCUUUACACAUGCAAGUCGAACGGCAGCACGGGGGCAACCCUGGUGGCGAGUGGCGAACGGGUGAGGAAUACAUCGGAACGUGUCUUUAAGUGGGGGAUAACGCAUCGAAAGGUGUGUUAAUACCGCAUAAUCUCUGAGGAGAAAAGCAGGGGAUCGCAAGACCUUGCGCUUUUAGAGCGGCCGAUGCCUGAUUAGCUUGUUGGUAAGGUAAAAGCUUACCAAGGCUUCGAUCAGUAGCUGGUCUGAGAGGACGGCCAGCCACAUUGGGACUGAGACACGGCCCAGACUCCUACGGGAGGCAGCAGUGGGGAAUUUUGGACAAUGGGGGCAACCUUGAUCCAGCCAUGCCGCGUGAGUGAAGAAGGCCUUCGGGUUGCAAAGCUCUUUCAGCCGGAACGAAACGGUUACGGUUAAUACCCGUGACUAAUGACGGUACCGGAAGAAGAAGCACCGGCUAACUACGUGCCAGCAGCCGCGGUAAUAAGGGCGA
rnacentral:rRNA from 1 species